GACGAAUGCUGGCGGCGUGCCUAAUACAUGCAAGUUGAGCGAUGAAGAUUGGUGCUUGCACCAAUUUGAUGAGCAGCGAACGGGUGAGUAACGCGUGGGGAAUCUGCCUUUGAGCGGGGGACAACAUUUGGAAACGAAUGCUAAUACCGCAUAACAACUUUAAACAUAAGUUUUAAGUUUGAAAGAUGCAAUUGCAUCACUCAAAGAUGAUCCCGCGUUGUAUUAGCUAGUUGGUGAGGUAAAGGCUCACCAAGGCGAUGAUACAUAGCCGACCUGAGAGGGUGAUCGGCCACAUUGGCACUGAGACACGGCCCAAACUCCUACGGGAGGCAGCAGUAGGGAAUCUUCGGCAAUGUACGAAAGUCUGACCGAGCAACGCCGCGUGAGUGAAGAAGGUUUUCGGAUCGUAAAACUCUGUUGGUAGAGAAGAACGUUGGUGAGAGUGGAAAGCUCAUCAAGUGACGGUAACUACCCAGAAAGGGACGGCUAACUACGUGCCAGCCGCCGCCGUAA
rnacentral:rRNA from 1 species